UACGUAGGGUGCGAGCGUUGUCCGGAGUUAUUGGGCGUAAAGAGCUUGUAGGCGGUUUGUCGCGUCUGCUGUGAAAAUCCGGGGCUCAACCCCGGACUUGCAGUGGGUACGGGCAGACUAGAGUGUGGUAGGGGAGACUGGAAUUCCUGGUGUAGCGGUGAAAUGCGCAGAUAUCAGGAGGAACACCGAUGGCGAAGGCAGGUCUCUGGGCCACUACUGACGCUGAGAAGCGAAAGCAUGGGGAGCGAACAGGAUUAGAUACCCG
rnacentral:rRNA from 1 species